rnacentral:rRNA from 1 species
AUUGAACGCUGGCGGCAGGCCUAACACAUGCAAGUCGAGCGGAUGAAGGUAGCUUGCUCCUGGAUUCGGCGGCGGACGGGUGAGUAAUGCCUCGGAAUCUGCCUGGUAGUGGGGGAUAACGUCCGGAAACGGGCGCUAAUACCGCAUCCGUCCUGAGGGAGAAAGUGGGGGAUCUUCGGACCUCACGCUAUCAGAUGAGCCUAGGUCGGCUUAGCUAGGUGGUGGGGUAAAGGCCUACCAAGGCGACGAUCUGUAACUGGUCUGAGAGGAUGAUCAGUGAUACUGGGAGUGAGACACCGUCCAGACUCCUACGGGAGGACGCAGUGGGGUAUAUUGGAAGGUGGGCGAAGGGAUGAUUCAGCAAUGGCGGGUGGGUUAACGAGGUCUUCGGGUGGUAAAGCAGAAUACGUUGGGGGGGAGGGCAGCUAGUCAAUAACUUGAUGUUUUGACGUUACCAACAGAAUAAGCACCGGCUAACUUCGUG